rnacentral:rRNA from 1 species
GACGAACGCUGGCGGCGUGCUUAACACAUGCAAGUCGAACGGAAAGGCCCUGCUUUUGUGGGGUGCUCGAGUGGCGAACGGGUGAGUAACACGUGAGUAACCUGCCCUUGACUUUGGGAUAACUUCAGGAAACUGGGGCUAAUACCGGAUAGGAGCUCCUGCUGCAUGGUGGGGGUUGGAAAGUUUCGGCGGAUGGGGAUGGACUCGCGGCUUAUCAGCUUGUUGGUGGGGUAGUGGCUUACCAAGGCAUUGACGGGUAGCCGGCCCGAGAGGGUGACCGGCGACAUUGGGACUAAGGUACGGACCAGACUCCUACGGGAGGCAGCAGUGGGGAAUAUUGCACAAUGGGCGGAAGCCUGAUGCAGCGACGCCGCGUGCGGGAUGACGGCCUUCGGGUUGUAAACCGCUUUCGCCUGUGACGAAGCGUGAGUGACGGUAAUGGGUAAAGAAGCACCGGCUAACUACGUG